rnacentral:rRNA from 1 species
UACGGAGGAUCCGAGCGUUAUCCGGAUUUAUUGGGUUUAAAGGGUGCGUAGGCGGUUUGAUAAGUUAGAGGUGAAAUGUCGGGGCUCAACCCCGAAACUGCCUCUAAUACUGUUGGACUAGAGAAUAGUUGCGGUAGGCGGAAUGUAUGAUGUAGCGGUGAAAUGCUUAGAGAUCAUACAGAACACCGAUUGCGAAGGCAGCUUACCAAACUAUAUCUGACGUUGAGGCACGAAAGCGUGGGUAGCAAACAGG